rnacentral:rRNA from 1 species
UACGUAGGGGGCUAGCGUUGUCCGGAAUCAUUGGGCGUAAAGCGCGCGUAGGCGGCCCGGUAAGUCCGCUGUAAAAGUCCAGGGCUCAACCCUGGAAAGCCGGUGGAUACUGUCGGGCUCGAGUCCGGAAGAGGCGAGUGGAAUUCCUGGUGUAGCAGUGAAAUGCGUAGAUAUCGUAAGGAACGCCAGUGGCGAAAGCGAGUCUCUGGGCAGCAUCUGACACUGAGGCACGAAGGCCAGGGGAGCAAACGGG